CUUCCCAAACCCCACCCCAUGUAUCAGCGCCAUUAGCAUAUCAGAAUGGAGAAAUACAAUCAAGAGCUCGUCGACUUGAGAAAAGACUCACUUGGCCGCAUCGCGAAGAAAAAAAUGGCGUUAAAAGCCAUCCAGCGGGUGGAGGGAGGAUCCAGCUAAGCGGAAGAUAAACGCUUGUGUCCCACAGGAGCGAAAAGAGAUACGAGACGUUUGUUUCUCCAUCCAUAUAUUUCUAUAGAUAUGCGCUAUUAUCCGGAUUUGGAUAUAGAAUGCGCAGUGUACCAUCGUACAAAUCUGUCUAUUAAGAAGAAUAGGUGCCUGAUUGCAUCUAUUGUCCAAAUAAAAGACCCUAACAAGUUAGCAGUUGAUGUGUUUUCUCGUUAGAGAAUUCGAGCGAGUUGAACCCGAUGAAUACAAUAUGGAAGGAGAGAGAGCGCCGGCGUGGAAGAAAAAGGACUCGAAAAAAAAAAGAGGGUGG